GGAAUGAGGACUGACAUCAAUUAGGACUGAGUUCAAUGACGACUGAGGGUAAUGAGGACUGAGAUCAGUGAGGACUGAGGGCAAUGAGGACUGAGGGCAACGAGGACUGAGGGCAAUGAGGACUGAGAUCAAUGAGGACCGAGGGCAAUGAGGACUGAGGGCAAUGAGGACCAAGGGCAAUGAGGACCGAGGGGAAUGAGGACUGAGGGGAAUGAGGACUGAGGGGAAUGAGGACUGAGAUCAAUGAGGACUGAAUCAAUGAGGACUGAGAUCAAUGAGGACCGAGGGCAAUGAGGACCGAGGGGAAUGAGGACCGAGGGAAAUGAGGACUGAGGGGAAUGAGGACCGAGAUCAAUGAGGACUGAGAUGAAUGAGGACUGAGAGUAAUGAGGACUGAUAUCAAUGAGGACUGAGGGUAAUGAGGACUGAG
rnacentral:lncRNA from 1 species